AACGAACGCUGGCGGCAGGCUUAACACAUGCAAGUCGAGCGCCCCGCAAGGGGAGCGGCAGACGGGUGAGUAACGCGUGGGAACGUACCUUUUGGUUCGGAACAACUCCGGGAAACUGGAGCUAAUACCGGAUAAGCCCUAACGGGGAAAGAUUUAUCGCCGAAAGAUCGGCCCGCGUCUGAUUAGCUAGUUGGUGAGGUAACGGCCCACCAAGGCGACGAUCAGUAGCUGGUCUGAGAGGAUGAUCAGCCACACUGGGACUGAGACACGGCCCAGACUCCUACGGGAGGCAGCAGUGGGGAAUAUUGGACAAUGGGCGCAAGCCUGAUCCAGCCAUGCCGCGUGAGUGAUGAAGGCCUUAGGGUUGUAAAGCUCUUUUGUCCGGGAAGAUAAUGACUGUACCGGAAGAAUAAGCCCCGGCUAACUUCGUG
rnacentral:rRNA from 1 species